UUCUUAAAUAUCUUAAUGAAGAUAAAAAAAGUUUGAAGCUUGAAUCUUGAAUUUUUUUUAACAAUGUUAGUUAUAAAAUAAAAUAAAAAUCAACACAAUACUUAACAAAUAAAAAAUGAAAAAUGAAAAUGAAAAAUUUGGGCUCUCUUGAAAUACCUUUUAAUUUGAAAAUGAAAAUCGAAAGCUGAAAUUUAAGAAAGAAGAGACAAAAUGUUAGAGGAGAAAAAAUGCUGGAAGAGAAA
rnacentral:lncRNA from 1 species